rnacentral:rRNA from 1 species
AACGAACGCUGGCGGCAGGCCUAACACAUGCAAGUCGAGCGCCCCGCAAGGGGAGCGGCGGACGGGUGAGUAACGCGUGGGAACGUACCCUUUGCUACGGAAUAGCCUCGGGAAACUGGGAGUAAUACCGUAUGUGCCCUUCGGGGGAAAGGAUUUAUCGGCAAAGGAUCGGCCCGCGUUGGAUUAGGUAGUUGGUGGGGUAAUGGCCUACCAAGCCGACGAUCCAUAGCUGGUUUGAGAGGAUGAUCAGCCAUACUGGGACUGAGACACGGCCCAGACUCCUACGGGAGGCAGCAGUGGGGGAAUCUUAGACAAUGGGCGCAAGCCUGAUCUAGCCAUGCCGCGUGAGCGAUGAAGGCCUUAGGGUUGUAAAGCUCUUUCAGUGGGGAAGAUAAUGACUGUACCCACAGAAGAAGCCCCGGCUAACUCCGUGCCAGCAGCCGCGGUAAAGUACAGUGU